UGGCCUCAUUUCCCUUAGGACUCUGGGAUAUCCCUCUGCCCAAUGGCUUCCCCUCUCCAACUGCAUUAAGUGUGUCCUGAAACAGUGAAAACAGUGUGGAUGCAGGGAGGGGGACUGGCAGGGAAUACCUUUGACCCUAUAGUACUCUUACCUGCCUCCAGUUCCAUACCUGGGGGAUAGGGGCGGUUCUGAAUAGGGGGAAGGUGGAAGGAAACACACUGAAAACUCCAGCGUGCUGCAAAUCCCGGGCCAAGCUCCGCCUUCCUGAGUGCUUGGAAUCUUUCAAAACAGGUGAGAACGAGGCUGAACGUUCCUGAAAUUCAAGCAAAAGAGUACCUUUCAGCUAACCAAGGUAAAGCUUCAGCCCAACAGACUGAAGAGGAACAGGCCCAUUAUCAAGAAGAACUCCAGCCUGGGCAACAUGGCAAAACCCUGUCUCUAUAAACAUUAACCGAGUGUGGUGGCACGUGCCUAUAGUCCCAGCUACUCAGGAGGCUGAGGUGGGAGGAUCACUUGAGCCUGAGACACCAAAGCUGCAGUGAACUGUGAUUACACUACUGCACUCCAGCCUGGGUGGAUAGACCGAGACCCUAUUUGAAGACCCAUACUCAGUCCUCAUAAAUAACGAACUCCAGUUUCACACAGUGGGCCUGACUCUGGCUGGAGGAUCCUUGUAUCUCUAAAGGCCAAGUCUUCAGAAAACCUCACAGCCCUCAAUAGGGCAGAGUCCUUCCCCUAACCCAGG
rnacentral:lncRNA from 10 species